rnacentral:rRNA from 1 species
UACGGAGGGUGCAAGCGUUAUCCGGAUUCACUGGGUUUAAAGGGUGCGUAGGUGGUCUGUUAAGUCAGCGGUGAAAGCCUGGAGCUCAACUCCAGAAUUGCCAUUGAUACUGAUGGACUUGAAUCAAGUUGAGGUGGAUGGAAUAUUACAUGUAGCGGUGAAAUGCUUAGAUAUGUAAUAGAACACCAAUUGCGAAGGCAGUUCACUAAGCUUGUAUUGACACUGAGGCACGAAAGCGUGGGGAUCAAACAGG